CUGAGCUAUUUGACGUGUGGCUCCGGGAACGGAAAGGGGCUUGUUUUGAAAAAACCUCUUUUUAUUAUUAUUAUCGUUAUUAUUUGAUUAAAGUCUCGCCGGGGCGGCGCGGUCGUCCUUGCCGCCGCGCUUCUACGACGCGCCCGCGUUUUCGUGCUGCGGAGCUCGCCUCUCCUCCCUUUUCUGUCCCCCCUCCCCAGCCCUGCCCUACCCCACCCCACCCCCGCCCGCUCCCCCAAAUGAGCGGUGGUUCGCCCGCUGGAUCUAACGCAAGGACAUCGCCCAACAGCAGCGGAGGGAAGAGCGUGGCCGCCGCCGUAGCAGCAACAACCACCGCCUCUUCUUCAGCCCAGUCUCCGGGAGCUGCGUGUCCGGCGCUCUCGCACCUGCCCCCGGGGGACCCCCUGCGCCAGGCGAACCGGCUUCCCAUCAGGGUGCUGAAGAUGCUGAGCGCCCAUAGCGGACACCUCCUGCACCCGGAAUACCUGCAGCCCCUCUCCUCCACGCCCGUCAGCCCUAUCGAGCUGGACGCCAAGAAGAGCCCUCUGGCGCUGCUGGCGCAAACCUGCUCACAGAUCGGGAAGCCGGACCCGCCGCCCGCCUCCAAGCUCAACUCCGGCACUUCCGCCGGGCUCGCCGGGCCGGACAAGGAGCCAGGCAGCCGCACGGCGGCCAGCGCCCUCAAGCAGCUGGGCGAUCCGCCCACCGAGGACAAGUCCAGCUUCAAGCCUUAUUCCAAAGGCGGAGGCGGAGAUCCGCGUAAGGACGGCGGCGGCGGCCCGCCGGGCCAGGCCGGGCCGGGGGCGGAAAAGACCGGCUUCCGGGUCCCCAGCGCCGCCUGCCCACCUUUCCCGCCGCAUGGAGCGGCAGGCGCCGCCACCGCCUCCUCCUGUUCCACCGCCUCUUCCCCGGGCGGCUCGAGAGGCAGCUCUCCGCAGCACGCGGAUUGCAAAGGCCCGGAAGACAAGAAGGAGCUGGAGAUUGCAGCCAAGACCAGCCCCGACGUCGCGCAAGGGGCCGGGGGAAGCCGAGCUGGCAGCGGAGCCAGCAGUGUGGAGCCUGGAGCUCAUGGGGAGGCCGCUUCUGGGCGCAAGUCGGAGCCUCCGACCCUGGCCUCAGGCCACGUGGCUCCGGUGUCCCCUUACAAACCAGGACACUCUGUGUUUCCUUUGCCCCCCUCUAGUAUCGGCUACCAUGGCUCCAUCGUCGGGGCCUACGCUGGCUACCCCACCCAGUUUGUGCCCAGCUUGGAUCCUACCAAGCCCAGCCUGGUGAGCAGCCAAUUGCCUGGAGCCUUGGGGCUACCAGGCAAGCCCCCCAGCUCCAGCCCUCUGACGGGGGCCUCUCCCCCUUCCUUCAUGCAAGGAUUAUGCCGCGACCCCUAUUGCCUGAGCUAUCACAGCGCCUCCCACUUGGGCACCAGCAACUGCUCCAGCUGCGUGCAUGACCCGGGCAGCCUGAAAAGCGGAUAUCCGUUGGUGUACCCCACGCACCCCUUGCACACUGCCCUGUCCUCCAGUGCCACACCCAGCCUGCCUGGCCACCCGCUCUACACAUAUGGCUUCAUGCUUCAAAACGACGGCCUGCCCCACAUAUGCAACUGGGUGUCUGCCAGCGGACCCUGUGACAAGAGGUUUGCCACCUCGGAGGAACUGCUGGCCCACUUACGGACCCACACAACUUUGCCCGGGGCGGAAAAACUCCUGGCUGGCUACCCCACCUCUGGGCUAGGGUCUGCAGCAUCUUGCCACCUGCAUCUCCCGCCCACCGCCCCAGGGAGCCCCAGCUCGUUACCGGGAUCCCUGUCUUUGAGAAGCCCGCACACCUUGGGACUCAGUCGAUACCAUCCAUAUGGCAAGAGCCAUUUGCCCACAGCCGGGGCAUUGCCAGUGCCCUCUUUGCCCGCGGCCGGACCCUACUACUCUCCAUAUGCCCUUUAUGGCCAAAGACUAACCUCAGCCUCGGCACUUGGAUAUCAGUAACUACAGCUGCCCUGUGUCUAUCGCCUCGCCCUCUCCUUGUGCGCCCUUGUCCUAGGGCUCUGUAUUUAUUUACUGUAUGUUAGCUUAAAGCUGGGAAAAUAAGUGCAUUAAUACACCAAUGAAUCAAUGGUAUGCAAAAAGUCUGUGUCCCCCAAAAUAAUAAUAAUAAUACCCAACCCAAAUCUUUUUUCUUUUCUUUUUGUCUGUAUGGGGGCUCUUAACUGUAUUUUCUUUUUAAAAUCCCCUUUUCUUUUUUAAAAAAAUAUUUUAUCCCCAUGAGCCAUUUGCAUGAUUCUCAACAAAAUGCACCCCUCACCCCUCCUUUAUUUUAUCUUUUUUAAACAAAAAAAAAAUCCGUUUCUUUUCCGUUUGUACAGUUAUCAGAAAUGUAACCCUUUUUUUGUCCUUUUAUGUAUUGUGUUCCAAGAAAAGGGGCAGUGUGAGGUCGGCUGGGAGAUGUUCUGCGGCUUUGUUCUAGCUCUGCAGGAUGGGAAGAGCAUCGCUUCGGUGGCUCCCGUGCUGGGAGAGGCACCUUACUGCGGGGGUGUAAGCUGGGAAGCAGCCUAGCCUCUGCCACCAGCUUUGGUUGUGACGACUGCUCCAUAUUAAGUCAGGUGCCCCCCUCUCUUCUCCAUUAAGUCAAAUGUGCAUUGAGAGUUAGUGGGUGCCCUAUGCAGAGGCAAGGGUUGAUGUACCAGUGAUCCUGGGACCUGGAUGUUGCUGAUGAUACUGAAGCCCAGACAGAGUGGCAACCGAGUUGAUCCAUCACAGGGGCACCUAUCACAUUUUUUUUGGUUCUUCUUUUCUUUUCUUGUUUUUUUUUCAAAAAAGACCUGGAUUUAAAUAACAUUGGCAAGCAUCCUUGAGGGACUGUUUUUUUUCCAACGUUCACCAAAAGGAAGAACUCGGAAGAACUUUGCUUAGACUAGCUCUGGCUGGAUCCUUUAAAUGAGUCUGGCUAGCCCCCAGGGGCCAGUGGCACCCUCAACUGCAAGCUUAAAUCUACAUACCAAAAAAACAGAAAAACCCAAUCCUCCCUAAUGCCCCCCACCCCCCAACUUAUCUUGACCUAUGGGAAUGGAACUGUCAUUAGGGUGUGGAGCCCCUCCCCCCCAAAUCCCCAGUCUUAACGCAGUGCGGAAGGCUGUGGAUCAUUUUGGGUGAAUGGAGCUCCAUCCUGGCACCGGCAGAACAGACUACACAGUCCAGACCUUGCUUAGAUCUCUGAAAUUUGCAGUGCCAUAAAUUGGAUCCCAGGAGUCGAGAGGAGAGGCCAGUAUCACCGAUACACCAAGUGGCAAUAGCCAGAUUGGCAAAGUGUGGUCAAUGGAAACACUUUGCUGCAGGCUCAGGCAACAAUGGGGACUGGCCCAGCGCUUUGCUGUGGGCGGUCCUGAAAGGUCUGGAGUCAGCAGUGGGGAAGAGAGGUGUAGCCAGCAGAGGACAGAGUCACUUCAAAAUACAGCCAGAAAAACCAUUCUGGCUGCUUGUCAAGCGACUAGUGUGCCCAUAGCCUGAGCUGCCACCAAAGCUACAAGUAACUCCCCACCAAUUCUACAGCUAUGUGC